AGCAGCCGCGGUAAUUCCAGCUCCAAUAGCGUAUAUUAAAGUUGUUGCAGUUAAAAAGCUCGUAGUUGAAUUUCGGGGUCUGUCAAUUGGUCGGGCUUCAGGUCCGUACUGGUUCGAUGGGUUCCUACCUUCUGAAUAACCAGCAUGCCAUUCAUUUGGUGCGCCGGGGAAGCAGAGCUAUUACCUUGAAAAAAUUAGAGUGCUUAAAGCAGGCUAUUUGCUUGAAUAGAUUAGCAUGGAAUAAUAAAAUAGGACGGCAUGGUUCUAUUUUGUUGGUUUCUAGGAUCACCGUAAUGAUUAAUAGGGAUAGUUGGGGGCAUUAGUAUUCAAUUGUCAGAGGUGAAAUUCUUGGAUUUAU
rnacentral:rRNA from 1 species